CUGUGUGUUUCAGGGCUUCCUCCCCAAACCACUUCAGUACCAUCUUCACUGACUCGUUCUCUUCCCCCAGGAUAACAUUUCCUGUGCUGCUCUUCCCAGAUCCUCUUUUUCCGAAAAGCACAAUUCUCACUUCAGAAGGUGCUUUGGGAGAGAAACACGAUAUCAGUUACCAUGAAUGUUAUACAUUUGUGUCAGUUUGAUUGAAGACUCAUAGCAAUGUGCUACAAUCAAGCCUGUCAGCAGGAGGCACCGUGAAUGUGGUUAUAAUGAACAUGAACAUGCCAUAUUACUGUGGAAAUUCUCCAGCAGGUCUUUAGCAUGUCUUGGGUGCAACUACUUUAUUCUGUCAGCAGAUGGCAGUGCAGAGCCACACAAAGCAUGAGCGCAUGGGAAAGAGACUGACAGUUAGAGGUUUAAGGUGUUCUGUUACUUUGAUAAAACACUCAACAAGGAAGUGAAGCAAACUUGGUGCAUACAAGGUGCCAGAGAAGACAUUUUCAAGAACCAGAACCUUUUUUCAAGAACCUGGAACUUCUAUCAUAUUUUCACCCCAGGAACUUGGCCCGAUUGUAGGUCCUAGGAGGUUUUUCCUUAAUUUUUUUUAGUUCCUACUCCAGAAGAUUUCCUUUUCACUCAACCAAGAGCUACUGGGUGGGGCUUAUAGUGAUAAACUUUGCUAAUUGGUUCACCACAAGCCCCAGUGCCAACUUGCGGGAAAAGAGAUGAGCAGAUGUAUUUUUUUUGUACCUAAGUUACACUAAAGGCAUCAAUGAGUAACUUUUUGCUUGUGUCCCCAAAGUUCUGCACCUGAAAAUUCGAUUGAUAGCCAGUAUCCUGUACGUCUGUCUAAUAUCAGUGGUUCCAGUCCUGAAACUUGCCAGCACUUA